UAAUUUCUCAUUUUUUCCCUUGCUCUUGGAACAGAGGAUUCGAAACUUAAUCGUUUUUUGAGUUUCUCAUUUUUCCCCUUUUACUCAAAAAUCAAAUCCCUAAUUUCUCAUUUUUUCCCAAAUCGAAAAUCAACAAAAAUCUUCUCGAAUUCGUGGAAUCGAAUUGAAAUUUCGUCGAGUUCGUCGCCGUGGGAGUGUUGUUUCGUCGAGUUCGUCGCCGUGGGAGUGAAAUUAAUGGAGUGUUCGUCCCCCGAUAGUAAUCCUUUGAGAAUCCUGCCACCGAUAGUAAUGGCUCGUGUAAAGACGGUGAUGAUUUGGUAUACGAGUCGACGGAGAGGCGUUGGAGAGAAGAAACCGCCGGAGAAGAACCACCAACAAAUGCUUCGGAGUUUGAGACUCCAAAAGGAACCGCGGAGAUGGAAGUUGAUCCGAUAGAACCACCAACAGAUGCAUCGAAGAUUGAGAGUCGGAAAGGUACCUCCGACAUGGAAGAGGAUUCCGAGAGUGAAAAAGAAACUCCGAAAGAAACUAAAAUCGAUAAGACCGAGUUAGCCCGAGAGGCUGAGCGAGAGAAUGAUCCAACAUAAGGAGUUGGUGGCUUGAAUGGAAAAAGGGAUAGUCUCCUCACGAAGCGUUGCAUGCGUCAGCAGCAGCAGCCUCCUGGAGCUGGCCUCGACGAUCCAAUCAACCUGCAUAUUCUAUGGAAGGUGAUCUGAAAAAUGAGAAAUCGUUUUCAUUUGCAGUGAGAGAUUCACUAGUUAAUGUUGGUCCAAUAAAAGAUUUUGCGUAUGGCUUAAGGAUUAAUGCUGAUGCAAACACCACUGGGAUUUCCAAACAGAGCAAAUAUGAAUUGGUGUGCUGUUCUAGUCAUGGGAAGAAGUGGAAGGAAGAACUUGAUCAAGAAAUGGAAAGAAAGCGCACAAGUCAAGUCUUGUAUGCAAUCGUUUAUUUAGGUACAACUGGUAUAUUUAGGUACAACUACGUAUAGGUACAACUGGUAUAUUUUGGUUUUGUAGUGUUGCUCUGUCAAAGAUAGAGGAUAAAUAGAAGGAAGAGCUUGAUCAAGAACUGGAAAGAAAGCGCACAAGUCAAGUCUGCACGUACUUGUGGAUUAAGAUUGCACAUGACUUAUGUUUUUGUAUUUCAUUUUUGUAUUUUGUUGUGUUGUGGAUUAAGAACAUAUGACUUCGUAUUUUUGUAAACCAAAAAAAUAUUUAGAUUAUAUUUAUGUUCAAUUGGUUUUGUAGGUA